rnacentral:rRNA from 1 species
GACGUAGGGGGCCAGCGUUGUUCGGAAUUACUGGGUGUAAAGGGUUCGUAGGCGGUGCGGCAAGUCGGGAGUGAAAUCUCUGGGCUUAACCCAGAGGCUGCUUCCGAAACUGCUGUGCUUGAGUGUGGGAGAGGCGCGUGGAAUUGCAGGUGUAGCGGUGAAAUGCUUAGAUAUGACAUAGAACACCAAUUGCGAAGGCAGCUUACUACAUAGUUAUUGACACUGAGGCACGAAAGCGUGGGGAUCAAACAGG